CUUAUAAUAUGAUGGUAAUCAAUCAGUAAAAAAAACAACAAAUGUACACUCCUACAAUAGAGAGUGAUGAAUCAGAAUAGUGGGAGGCACUAUACUUGGAAUGUUUUGAAUGGUAUGAUAAUAUGAAGGUACUCGAACUGAUAAGAGAUAAGUACAAUAAUUUAUCUGAAAAUCAAAACAAAGGCGAUGCACACACUAAUGUGCAUGAAGUUGCAUCGUUGUUUGCAAGCAGACGAUCAAACUCAAAAGUCAUAACACAAGUAAGUACGAUUUCAAGUGUUUCAAAUACGCGAACAGAUGCUCUGGAGACGGAGAGAGGGUUUUUGCUUCCUGCUGAGAUGCGGCAAACGACAAGCAACGUACACCACGGAGUGUCACCUCUCAACUUUCGUAACGUUUUUUGCUCUGUUAUGGCACUGCAACCUGGUUAUAUGGCGGAGCCUAUCGGUAAAAUUUGGAUGAAGGAGAAGGUUAUUCAGAAAAGCCGACCCUCCCCCUCCCCCCUUGGAUUUUGUCCGGAUUUUUCUGGUAAUCGCAAGGUCAGGAAAUAUUUGCCCCGGACGUUGUGGCGCUACCACAUUGAAAAAUUAGCAAUUCUGUAAGUGGAAGAAAAAAUGAGCUAUGAAGUCGCGAUUUGGACUAAAAACGUACACUUUAAACAUAAUAAGGUUCAUAUUUCUGGCGUUCCGUCCAAUUAAACUUGCAUUGCUACGGAUAUCAUUUUGAACUUUAUUUUCUUUCACCAUUCUUAAACUAUACCAUGGUGUCUAAAAAGGUUCUCAAACUUUAGCAAAAAGUUCUUAAACUUAAACACACUGCGCUUAAAAUUUCAUCCUCCUCUUCAAAGGGAAUUUUGCCCCUGACUAAAAGUUUGCGAGGGAAAAAAAAUUGAGUCAAAUGAAUUUUCAAACGAAUGCUAUUGAAGAGACAAAAUAAAAGAAACAAUUGGAAAGUACAAUUUAUUCAUAUAACACAACAUGAACAUUUCGAAGGAUAUUGAUGAAUCACAAGUAUGAAGAAGGUAAGAAUGAGUCUUCGGAGGGUACAAAGAAAAAUGAACACAGGGAAAGAAACCUCAGUUCUGUUAAAGCUAUACAUACAUUUCUCUUUUAGCAAGUUGCUCACAGAUAUGAAAACGUAUCAAUAGAAAAUCUUUGUGAUAUGGAUUUUCAUUAAAUCUAGAUCAAGGCAUACAUAAAAGGAAAGGGAGGGGGGAUAAAAGAGUAGCCCCCGCAAAAUAUAAUUAUGAAGUAAGGCUGUGAUAUC
rnacentral:lncRNA from 1 species